UCUGGUGUCAGCCGCCGCGGUAAAACCAGCACCUCAAGUGGUCAGGAUGAUUAUUGGGCCUAAAGCAUCCGUAGCCGGCUCUGUAAGUUUUCGGUUAAAUCUGUACGCUCAACGUACAGGCUGCCGGGAAUACUGCAGAGCUAGGGAGUGGGAGAGGUAGACGGUACUCGGUAGGAAGGGGUAAAAUCCUUUGAUCUAUUAAUGACCACCUGUGGCGAAGGCGGUCUACCAGAACACGUCCGACGGUGAGGGAUGAAAGCUGGGGGAGCAAACCGGAUUAGAUACCCGGGUAGUCCUAGCUGUAAACUAUGCAAACUCAGUGAUGCAUUGGCUUGUGGCCAAUGCAGUGCUGCAGGGAAGCCGUUAAGUUUGCCGCCUGGGAAGUACGUACGCAAGUAUGAAACUUAAAG
rnacentral:rRNA from 2 species